UACGGGAGGCAGCAGUGGGGAAUAUUGCACAAUGGGCGCAAGCCUGAUGCAGCCAUGCCGCGUGUAUGAAAAAGGCCUUCGGGUUGUAAAGUACUUUCAGUCGUGAGGAAGGUGUUAAGGUUAAUAACCUUAGCAAUUGACGUUAGCGACAGAAGAAGCACCGGCUAACUCCGUGCCAGCAGCCGCGGUAAUACGGAGGGUGCGAGCGUUAAUCGGAAUUACUGGGCGUAAAGGGCACGCAGGCGGUUAAUUAAGUUGGAUGUGAAAUCCCCGGGCUUAACCUGGGAAUGGCAUUCAAGACUGGUUAGCUAGAGUCUUGUAGAGGGGGGUUAGAAGUUCCAUGUGUAGCGGUGAAAUGCGUAGAGAUGUGGAGGAAUACCGGUGCGAAGGCGGCCCCUGGACAAAGACUGACGCUCAUGUGCGAAAGCGUGGGGAGCAAACAGGGAUUAGAUAC
rnacentral:rRNA from 1 species